GAUGAACGCUGGCGGCGUGCCUAAUACAUGCAAGUCGAGCGAACGGACGAGAAGCUUGCUUCUCUGAUGUUAGCGGCGGACGGGUGAGUAACACGUGGAUAACCUACCUAUAAGACUGGGAUAACUUCGGGAAACCGUAGCUAAUACCGGAUAAUAUUUUGAACCGCAUGGUUCAUAAGUGAAAGACGGUCUUGCUGUCACUUAUAGAUGGAUCCGCGCUGCAUUAGCUAGUUGGUAAGGUAACGGCUUACCAAGGCAACGAUGCAUAGCCGACCUGAGAGGGUGAUCGGCCACACUGGAACUGAGACACGGUCCAGACUCCUACGGGAGGCAGCAGUAGGGAAUCUUCCGCAAUGGGCGAGAGCCUGACGGAGCAACGCCGCGUGAGUGAUGAAGGUCUUCGGAUCGUAAAACUCUGUUAUUAGGGAAGAACAUAUGUGUAAGUAACUGUGCACAUCUUGACGGUACCUAAUCAGAAAGCCACGGCUAACUACGUG
rnacentral:rRNA from 1 species